GUGGACUCUGAUCGUGCUCUCUCUCUUCUGUCAUCAGCACCCGCUGUAACUAGGGAGAUUGGUUUUAGUCACAUGGUGCAGCAGCCUGCUUCUAUCCCUCGGCCCCAGUCACAAUCCGUCGUUCAUAGCCUACACUAUGGUGGUCUAAGCCAGUACCCUUUUGCUCAAGAUUUCAAUAGCCAACCUCAAGAUUCUGCUGCAGAUUCACAUGUUAGCAACAACAGCUCUCUGCAUUUCCAUGAUAUGUUACAAAAUGGACCAGAUGGAUCAUCUACAAGUGCUGGCUGUGAGCAAACACUAGCCUUUAUGUGGGACUAAAAAAACUUUCAGGAUAUCUAAAUUUGGUCUCUGUUAACAUCAAGAAAAUUCCUUCCAAGCAAAUGUUAUUCCCAUUAAGAUUCUAUCCCCCGGCCCCAGUCACAAUCCGUCGCUCAUAGCCUACACUAUGGUGGUCUAAGCCAGUACCCUUUUGCUCAAGAUUUCAAUAGCCAACCUCAAGAUUCUGCUGCAGAUUCACAUGUUAGCAACAACAGCUCUCUGCAUUUCCAUGAUAUGUUACAAAAUGGACCAGAUGGAUCAUCUACAAGUGCUGGCUGUGAGCAAACACUAGCCUUUAUGUGGGACUAAAAAAACUUUCAGGAUAUCUAAAUUUGGUCUCUGUUAACAUCAAGAAAAUUCCUUCCAAGCAAAUGUUAUUCCCAUUAAGAAUGUUUAGCUUCUAAUUAGCGACAAUUUCUUCUCUAAAAGGGUCGAAUGUCAGUAAAAUCCUAUCAUGAAGUCAUUUGUGACAUAGGUUGACUUUCGUGUGAAAUAUGAGUUGGCCAUUCUAUAUUCCCUUCAUUAUAUUUC
rnacentral:lncRNA from 1 species